rnacentral:rRNA from 1 species
UGAGGAAUAUUGGUCAAUGGGCGAGAGCCUGAACCAGCCAAGUCGCGUGAGGGAUGACGGCCCUACGGGUUGUAAACCUCUUUGCCGGGGAGCAAUGCUCCGCACGAGUGCGGAGCGGGAGAGUACCCGGAGAAAAAGCAUCGGCUAACUCCGUGCC